UCUUUCAGAAGCAGCAGUUAUAGUAGCAAUAAAAUUCGUUCAAGUGUUGUAAUGAAAUAAUGAGAAUUGGCAGCCCUACUUGCAGAGAAGGAUUCACAUAGUGUUUUUCUAAGUGAUUGCUGAAGAUCCACUUCCUUGUAGUUUUUCUUUGCUGUACUAUUAGAGCAAGACAGGAUUGCCCUCUUGUUCUAGAAAUAGUUCAUCUGAAUCAGGUGUUUGGCAGGAUGGUGAAAUAGCAGGUGGGAAGGGGUGGGAGGCCAACAGCUGGUAGAGACUGGGAAGGUGGAAAUAGUUUAGAAUGAUGCAGAAGGAGAAAGAUGAAGACUAAAAUUAACGGGACUCAUGGAGAAUAGUACGUACUGCAGGGAGAGACAACCUAAAGAGUAAAAGGAGAUAAGGAAUUUGGACAGAUGGAAGAAAGAAAUAAGAUCGACCACAAGGACCGAAUAAUGUUCCCAAAGAAAUGCAUUUGGAUGAAGAUGACUGAACAUGCAGAUCCAAAGGCCCUUUUAGGAUAUGGUGAACCUUUGGCCUUGGAUGAAGAGCGUUCUUGGAUGAAAGAACUCCAGCUGAAAGACAAAGUCUUUGCCUUUUCCCUUGAGACUUGCAGAGAUAUGAAAGAGAUAAAGGAAACAAAGAUUUGCAGCUGAAUUCUUGCAGGGUGCAGUUCUAGUGGCUGACAGGCACCCAGCCAGCCUGCCUCAUUACUGUGGAAUGUCACAUGCUUACACCCUUUACUGUUCUCCUGCAACUCCCUAAAACCCUCACGUGCAUUUUGGCUAUUUCUUUCUGCUAUUUGCAAAUUACAUUUAAUUGCGUAGUUUCUGUAUUAAAAUUGGUUCUCGGACUCAAGUAUAUCUCGUGUAGCUAAGAAAGUAAAUGCAGAAAAUACAUACUGUACUUGGUUCAUAAAAUUAUCAUAUUUGUACCAGGAACUGAGGAGGUAAUUAAGUAAUAAUCUUGUUUUUCUUUAAUGGCUUGCCUAAACUGAAAAUACCAAUAGUUCAUUGAGUCAAUGAACUGACAUUCACAAUGUGGUCAGCCAUAGCUACCUGGUCAUUUGAAUGGAUUUUCUACUCUAACAUAUUGAACUAUGUUAAAUUGAUAUGAAGAAAUCUAGGGACUUCAUAAAUUUCCUUACUAAAUGUUCAGUGUACUGAAACUUGGUUAUACUUUUGACUAUCUUUCUUUACAAAGUGUCCUUAUUUUCACUUUUUGUUAUAAAAAACAGCUCUUCUAGACAGUUUUUGUUUAAAUUCUUAGAGUAUAAUUUGAUUUCGUUAACAGUGUUUGUUGUUAGAGUUGAACUUCAAAGUACGUCUGAUACCUAACAUGUUACUACCUAAUGGAUUUUCUUAAUUGAGAACGUGUCUGAAAACAAAGGCUACACACAGAGAAAUGCUGUACCAAAAUUAAAGAGCUUUACUCUCCCUGCAUCAGUCCCCACAGAGGGAGACCUAAUUACUUUCACUGUUGUAGAAGUAUAAUUCCGCUUAUAUAUCAACUCACAUGCUAUAGUACCUUUCAUGCUAGAUAGGAAUGUGUAGUAAGUAUGUUGGAAUUCAGGCAUCUGUGGUAUCUCUGCUCUAAAGUGUAGCCACCAGACAGGCUUCUCAAGGGGCAGACCUGAACAGCGUAGCAACUGUUUUAACAAACCACCACAAUAAGAAGGCAUUUGCCUGCAGGGUAGCCUAGGUAAGCCCAGCAUUAUCUGAUAAGGAUGUAUUAGUCUACUUCUUUCAAAAGUCCUCUGGAACAUUUUGAAUAUUUUUCUUCAACAGCUAUGUCUUAUUGCCCAGCCAUCCUUGUUUAAAAGCAGUUCUAGAAGCUGUUUCCAGCUAAGCAAUAGACUUUUCUAAACAAUAGUGCAGAUGCUGUCUCUUAAAGGUUAGCUUUUGACUUGAAGACCUGGAGACAAUAACCAGUCUUUGAUCAGUGAUUUCACUUGCUUGUUUUCUCUGCUCACAUCUCUCUAUUUUGUCCCCUACCCCUCCUCUUUGGCCCUAACUGGUCAUAAAAAUUAUGCAUGACAAUUGGAAGUGUUGUUGGCUGCACGGUCUCUGUAUGGGCUGACUAAUAUAAAGUAAUUCAUAUUGAGAUGCAUAUGUAUGUUUGUAUGUGCAAGACAUUAACUUUACUUGCAUUGAGCCUGUUAGAAUAUGGAUGUACACAAAGAAAGCUAUGACUAAAAUUUCAGAUAUCUAGAUACUGAACAAUUAAAUUUUAUUGUUUACUCUUGAGCAUUGAUGUACUAAUGCUGUUUUGUUACUUCCCUAAUAAAAGAAACCUUUUUAAAUGCUU